rnacentral:lncRNA from 1 species
AUCUUCCCUCCUGUCACUGUCCGUGUCUGAAUGCCGUUCUCCCCCCGAGCCUUCUGUUCCAUGAUUUCCUGGUCCUACUUUCCCCUCCUCAUCUUCCUUUUUCUCACUGUCUGACUUUUCCUCACUGUCGGACUUCUGUUGCUUUUUGGUUUCAGACUUCUCAUCUUUCUUUAAGUCUGCUUUUGGUCCUUUGUAUUCAUGUGUGUACAGAGGCCUGAAGGAGUCAAUGAAGCCCACAUCAGCAGUCAGAUUUGGCAAGAACCAAAAGUGGUGCCUUCCUCCAGUUAUGAGCCAAAUGAUGAGAAAUAGAAUGCAUCGAGCUGUGGGGAGAAAAAUUUCUCUAAUUGAGUAAUUCAAACACUGCCUCAGAAGGGAGUAUUUGUUAAUAAAAAGCUGGGAAAACAGUUUUAUUAUCUGCACAUUUCAUACACCUUAAAUAUUAAUAUUUAAAUCCUGAUUAGUGCUGGGCGUGGUGGCUAAACCUCUAAUCCAAGCUACUUGGGAGGAUCACUUGAGCCCAGGAGCUCGAGGCUGCAGUGAGCUAUAAUUACACCACUGCAUGCCUGAAAACAAAAAAUUCCUGACUAGUUUAGCAGCUAUCACGGUAUUCUAGGGGCACAGAAUGUUGCUCUGAACUUGAGGUCACAAUGCAAUAAUGUCACUGAAAAAAAUUACUUCUUUUUUCCAUCUGGGUGUACACUUACAUGGAUAUACACUUCUGAUUUAUGUACUUUGUGAUAUUAUGCUUCAAUACACAUAGCAAUCAGUUGGGAAUUUAAGUAUUCAUAAGAUCAUGGUGUAGGAAAAGAAUAAAAUAAAGAGAUGAAAGGUGUUUAGGAAGGAAGCCUUUAAGAAGGAAAAGCAGGGCUGCAUCAUACUUCCCAAGGCCCUAGGCCCUUUUGCCUUUGUAAGGCACUUACUCCACAAAAACUAUUAAAUAUUAUAUUUUCUAUACAUUUAUGACUAUAUUUUCUGUACAUCUGUAUAAACACGAAUAAAAUACUGUAUAGGUUUGCUAUUACAUACAUGUAUAUACAUUACUACUUCUGAUUUAAAAGAAAUAAAAAUGAAAAUAUUUCUGUGGACCCCUAUAUGUAUCUUGGUCCAAGGCACACGUUUACUAUGCCUAAAGGAUAAAUUAGCCCUGGAUAAGGAACCCCAGUAUUAGAAAGUUUCCAUCUUUUAAUCCUUGUUUUCUUAUUUAUUUAUUGAGGACAAGGUCUUGCUCUGUCACCCAGGCUGGAGUGCAGUGGCACAAUCAUGACUCGCUGCAGCCUCAACCUCCUGGGCUCAAGCAAUCCUCCCACCUCAGCCUCCAAGUAGCAGGUACGUGCCACCAUGCUCCGCUAAUUUUUGUAUUUUUUGUAGAGAUGGGGUCUUGCCAAGUUGCCCAGUCUGGUCUUGAACUCCUGGGCUCAAACUCCCAAAGUGCAGGGAUUACAGGUCUAUAUCUAUCAUUUAUUUAUCUAAUCUCUCUCUCUCUAUCUAUCCUCCCUCUCUCUCUACCUAUCUACCUACUUUGAUAGACAGGUUCUUGCUAUGUUGUCCAGGCCAGUCUUAAACUCCUGGCUUUAUGUGAUCCUCUCACCUCAGCCUCCCGAGUAGUUGGGAUCGCAGUUGUGAGUCACUGAACCUGACCUUUUUGUUUUAUUAGUUAGGUAAACUAUGUAAUUUUUGCUUAAAGACCAAUCCUCUCAAUAUUAGGAAAAAUACAAUGUUAAUGAAAGCAAGAUCACUUAAAUACAUAAGGUUUACUCUUUUAUAACACUGUAUUAUGAAAAAACUGUAGAAAAAUGGAAUUUGAAUUUUAAAAUUUGUAGUAAUGAGUUAUCACAAACCCCAAUAUUUAGUUUUCUCUGAAUUUACCAAUUAUGUAGAGCUGAGUGAUUUUUUCCUGUUUUUUAAAAGGUCAUGAUGAUUAUGUGAAUGUUACAGACUAAUCAAUUAUGACAGGAGUUUUGGUUUUUGUUUUCUUUAGACAAUUCUGUCACUGUUUUCAUAUAAAGCCUGAAAUAAGCUAAUCUAUGUGUCUUCCAUUAUUUUGCUUUGUAUAAAUGGAAGAAAAUCGUUAUAGCUGUCUUGACUUUUAAAAAUAGCAAUUUUUAUUUUCACAAGAAUAUAAAUAUUCUGAAAGACUCCUGUACACAUUAGAAUCUUUCGUGGUAUAAACGGAAAAGGUAAAUAUGCUUAAAAUUAUGAUUUAAGAAUAAAUUCCACUGAUAAACAGAGAUAAUGAAUUUAAGGAGGCUGUACAUUUUUUUCUCCAAUUAUGAUGCAAUGAUAGGUUUUACAGGAUUGUAAGACAGAUGAUUCAUAAUAUGAAAUCUUGUAUCAAACCAAAGAAAAAGCAAUAUAGAAAUGGCACUAACCUAAUUUCUUAUCACAUACAAAUGGUAUGGCAAAAUGUUCAUGUUUUACAGUUUUUCGCUAUGUGGCACUAGAUUACCGAGAGUGAAAAGGGAAGAAUUAUGGGGAAGCUGUGACAUGUACUAUAAUAACAUUCCUAUGCUAAAAGCGACAGAUUUUAGAAAACUGCCAAAGGUUUUAUUUUAAAUGGCAUUAUUAAUAAUGCAUAUUCAAAGAAACACCAGAUAUAAUUGUGACCAAUACAUAAUAUUUCAAGACCCUGACUUUAAAAAAAAAAAUUAGCUAGGCAUGGCAACAUGCUCCUAUAGUCCCAGCUAUUCAGGAGGCUAAGGUGGGAGGGCUGCUUGAGCCCAGGAGUUUGAGGGUACAGUGAGCUAUGAUUCUGCCAUGGUACUUUACCCUGGGCAACAGAGCAAGACCCUGUCUCCAAAAAAUGAAUAUAUAUAAAAAUAUAUUUCAUAUAAAUAUGAGAUAUCAUAUAAUAUAUAUGACAUAUCAUAUGAUAUAUAUUAUAUGAUAUAUAUGAUAUAUAAUAUUAUGAUAUAUCAUAUAUCUAUAUAUCAUAUAUAUUCAUAUAUAAUAUACAUGAUAUAUAUUAUAUGCGAUAUACAUAAUAUAUAUAAAGACUUCAAAGAAUAAUAUAAAAGAAAUAUCUAAUUAUUUGAAAGUAUAUUUGGAAUUGCAUUUUCUAAGAGAAUCAAAAUAAAAUGUUGGGUUUGUUUCCUGGUAUAAUUCAGAAGACUAUUUGGUUCAUAAUGCAUAUUUAAAUCCACAGCAUAUUUACAAUGAAAAUUUAUUUAAAGAGACUACUGAAGAAACAAUAUUUUAAACAGCAAAACUACAUAAUAACCAUAAACUAUUGUGAACACUGGUUUAAUUUAAAAAUAAGCAAGUAGAAUAAUUCUAUUCAGUGGAGCUAAACCUUUGCUAAAAAUUUCCAAGGAGUUUCUAAAUUUCAGGAAUUUGAAAGGCAAAAAGCACCAAUUUUAUUAUGUCUAAUGUCAGAUCAAAGUUUAUGACUUUUCCUUCUUGAUGCAGGUAUUACACUGACACUAAAUUCAAACAGGCUUAGAUAUUGUUUCUUGGCCUACAAAUGUGCCCGUGUUCCAUGCAAAACCAGCAGGGGAUUUUUCUGCUGCCAGAGGUUACCAAAUCAGAGGAAGGAGGCUGGGCGUGGUGGUUCACGCCUGUAAUCCCAACACUUUGGGAGGCCAAGGAGGGCAGAUCACCUGAGGUCAGGAGUUCGAGACUAGCCUGGGCAGAGUGAUACCCUAUCUCCCCCACAAAAAGCCAGGCAUGAUGAAAUGCACCAGUACUCCUAGCUACUUGGGAGGCUGAGGCAGGAGGAUUGCUUAAGCCCAGGAAUUCAAGGCUGCAGUGAGCUAUGAUCUCACCACUGCACUUCAGCUUGGGUGACAGAGCAAGACCCUGCCUCUAAACAAAUAAUCUAUGAAAGACCCCAAUCAUCCAGAAAUGCGGAAAAUUCAUUUACUUAUGUUUUCCUAUUUGAUUUUUAAAACAUUAACUCCUUAUUGCAUCUAGUAUUUUGGUACUUGGGUGAAAAUUAUUGAUUUUUCCCAAAAUGGCAAAUCAAUUGUUUAGAAUCAUUUAUUAAAUAUAUGCAUAGAUUAUUUAGAUGUUGCAUUUGUUCUAAGUCAAAAUUAAAAAAUGUUUUACUGAAAGUAUUAUGUCUAAUAAAUGAUCUACCACUGCAAAAAUAUUAAACGCCUCUGCCAUAACUAAUUUUUAAAGCACAUCUAUUUGCAGAUUAAGAUAUAAUAAUGUAUGGUAUAUUUCAAAAUAAGUAAAUUUCAAAUGUCUCACAAUAAAUGAUAGGCAAGAAAGGUGAUCAAUAUGCUAAUUAUGUUAAUUAGCUUGAUUUAAACAUUCCACAUUGUACACAUACACCAAAACAUCACAUUGUACCCCAUAAAUGUAUACAAUUAUGAUCUGUCAAUAAAAAAUAAUCUUAUUAAAAAAUUUUUUUAAAGAUGUAUUAAAUCCUUUUUCUGCAGACAGAACACAUCUUACCAAGCCUGAGUUUUGAGAUUUGACUCAGAAAGUAGUACCAUAUAUUUCUUGAUUUACCUCCAUUAAUUUUUCUUAAGCUUUACUGAAGCUCCAAAUUACAGUCCAACUGCUCAAUACCAACCUUCUUGAGGUCAAUUUUAUAAUAACAAUACUUACCAACAGCAAGGAGAAGAAUACUGGCUACAAAACAGCCUGCACCCACACUGAGGUAAUAAACACCUACUCUCAUUUCUGCUGGCCAAAGGGGGAAGAGGGUGGCCGCUAUUACUGCAAUCACUGGAACAAGAAAUGACAAAAGUUAAAUUUUAGAAUAAAAACUUAAAUGGUAUGGCUGCACUAACAGAAACAUAUCCCUGGGGGAAAAACUGAGAAACAUAAACACAGUGAAAUAUAAAAUUGCCAUUUUUAUAGGUAAAAAAUGGUCAAUUAUGAGCAAUUUCAUAUUGUUCAACCUAACAUUUUAUACUAUUCUUAAACUAGUUUUUAUUAGUGUAAAUUACAUAUAAUUAGAAAAAAAUGCUAUGUAGAAAUUCAAAACUGUUGCCUCCUUAAUUUAUCAACUGCCCCCUUUUUCAAGCUAUAUCUACUUUAUUUAAAAAAUACUAAGAUAUUUGCCUACUAAGUAAGGGAGCUAAAAGAAACAACAGAACAACAAAGCCAACAAAAAAUGAUUUCCAAGACCCCUCUCUGGAGAUUCUUCUUCUGGGGUGGAGCUCUGACAUCCACAGACUGAAAGAUUCCCCAGGUGAUUUCUGCUACAGAUGUAUUUUUUGGUGCUUAGGGAAACUGUUUACAAGUGUCUCCAGUUUUUUUGCAAGUAAAGUGGGGACACAAGAAAGAAUUAUAAGAAAUUAGAAGCCUGGUUAUUAGGUCUUUAGAAUAAGACCAGGAUUAAAAUUCUAGCUCCAUCACUUAUAAGCUAUGUAACCCUGGGCAAGUUACUUAACUCUUUUGAGGCUAAGUUACCUUAUAUUUAAUAAGUCUCUUCCUAUUCUUCAAAGGUUGUUGUGAGGAUGAAAUGAUAUAUUGUACGCAAAAUAUCUAGCAAAGUGACUAGUACUCUUAUUAUAAAAGAGUUAUUUUGCUUUUUGUUUUCUGAAACAGAGUCUUACUCUGUCACCCAGGCUGCAGUACAGUGGCAUGAUCUUGGCUCACGACAGCCUCGACCUCCUGAGCUUAGGUGAUCCUCCCACCUCAGCCUUCUAAGUAGUUGGGACUACAGGUGUGAACCACCACACCCGGCUAAUUUUUUGUAGAAACGAGGUUUCGCCAUGUUGCCUAGGCUGGUUUCGAACCCUUGGAUUCAAGCCAUCUCCCUGCCUUGGCCUCCUAAAGUGUUAGGAUUACAAGUGUGAGCCACUGAGCCCAGCCUUAAAGAGUUAUUUUGAAUGGGAUCCUAUCAUACCAUAUUGACCAAGCUUAUUUUAACUGCUACCUAUUUUUUUUUUUUCUGUUUGUUAAAUCAUUCUUUCCCCAUAAAACCUCCUGGAAUACACACGUUAAAAAGCAAAUCAAAAACAAAUCAAACCCCCAGCACUUUGGGACAACGAGGCAAGUGCCCAGGAGUUUGAGACCAGCCUGGGCAACAUGGCGAAACCCCAUCUCUACAAAAAAAUACAAAAAUUAGCGGGGUGUAGUGGAGUGUGCCUAUAGUUCCAGCUACUCAGUAGGCUGAUGUGGGAGAUCACCUGACCCCAGCAAGUCGGGCUGCAGUGAGCCAUGAUUGUGCCAUUGCAUUCCAGCCUGGGUGACAGGAAUGAGACCCUGUCACAAACAAGCAAAUCAAAAGGUAUAGAGAAAAUUAAGUCUUCAUCUAAUUCUUAUUCCACUUCCCAGAGGUUAAGUACUAUUAAGCUUACCUGUAUUCUCAGAGACUGCCUAUAUAUAAUUAACUAGCUACAGGGACUUUUUUUCUAAAUAAGUAAAUGAGCUUAUACUAUUCUUACUCGUCUGUAACUUUCUUUUCUUUUUUUAUCUAUUCUAGGUAUAAUAUCCUUGCACAUGUACGUUUGUGCAACUGUGAUUAUGGCAUAGGGUAAAUUCCUUAAAGUGGAAUUUAUUAGAUCAAAUGGUAUAAGCAUUUUGAAUUUGAAAGAUAUUUGCUAGAUUAUACUCAAGUAUAGUCUAAGGGAUUUGGAAAAAAACAGAUAAUGUGUCAAUGCACACACUUUGUGCAACUGUAUGGGAACAGCCUAGAAUUGCUGGGUCACUGCAGACACAUAAAAUUUCAAAGAUACUGACAAACUGCCCUUUACAAAAAUUAAAACAAUAGACAUACCUAUCAACUGUUAGAGAGAGCUGAUUUUUUUCUAAGACCUUUAAUGUUAAGGUUUGCAAGACUCUUAAUCACUACAGCUUUAAUUUGUAUAUGAGUGUGAUUAAGUAUCACUCAUGAUGAUUGGUCAUUGUAUUUCUUUAUCUGUUAACUACCUUGACCAUUUUUCUAUCAGUUUGUUAAUCUCUUAAAAGAUCUUUAAUAUGUUUCAAAUAUUUUCCUUAGUGUAUUAUUUAUCUUCUGACUUUAUUUAAAGUAUUUUUAAAAUGACAACUAUUUUAUGUUAAAUUUAGGAACAUUUUCUUUUACAGUAUCUGCAUAUUGUUUUCUAAAUUUUAGAUUGCACUUUAUAGCUAUUAACAUCUCACUACUUACCAAGAAUUAAUCCCAUGACAAAUGUUUUAAAGUGAACUGGGUCAUAGAUCCAUACAUACACCUAGAAGAAUCAAGAAACCUCGGUGCUUAAAAGUUCUAAUGUCACAUUAGAAAGUAAUGCUUAAUUCUAUAUUUUAGGUCCCUUAAAGCAGUCAUCAACCUCUUAACAUACGAGAAGUAAUUUCUAAGGUAAAUAAAUUCCAAAGAUCUUUCCUUCAGUAGUAGUGGUUCUUCUGGCGCUAGAAAAUGAUUAUAGGAUAACUAUAAAUUCUAUAAAGCACUUAAGUAAAUUUGUAUGUUCUUACAUACACUUAAAAAUUUGUUUGACUGGGCUUGGUGGCUCACGCCUAUAAUCCCAGCACUUUGGAGGCCAAGGCGGGCAGAUCACUUGAGGUCAGGAGUUCAAGACAAGCCUGGCCAACAUGGUGAAACCCUGCCUCUACUAAAAAUACAAAAAUUAGCCAGGUGUGGUGGUGGACGCUUGUAAUCCCAGCUACUCGGGAGGCUGAGGCAGGAGAAUUGCUUGAACCCAGGAGGCAGAGGUUGCAGUUAGCUGAGAUCACACCACUGCACUCCAGCAUGGGCGACAGAGCAAGACUCUGUCUUGGGGGAAAAAAAAAUUGUUCCAUGUGUGCACAUCAUUAUUUAUUCAACCAAAACACCAGCAACUGCCAACCUUUUUGUCCCUAAUGUAAUGAUGAACCAGUCUGGGAUAAAAGCGCAGUUAAGACAGAUUCCAGCCAGGCCCUAUUACAGAUCUAGUAUCACUCAACUCCACACUUUUCUCUCCUGAGAAGACACAAAGAUCAAUUAUUAAAGAUCAUGCUUGGUGAACAUAGUCUCUAUGACUGUAUUAAUUUCAUUGCCUACUCCUCCAUGGAGGGCCCAUAAGCUGGGAACCACUACUUCAAAACUUAAUUUACUUUUAUCAGGCUCUUAUUUUACACAACAGAAAUUUACUUCAUUCAGAUCAGAACUCUGUUUGAUCAUUCAUCCAUAAAACUCAGUUUUAUUUCUUAGUUUCUAUAAAUAACAGUACUCUUCCCUCUUAUUUCUAUAUUGACCAGAACUCUUUAUUGUCUUUCCAACGUGGUUCUUCAAUUUUUAACACCAGAGGUUCCACUUUAACCUCUUAUUUUACUCUGCCCAUUUCCUUGGGAAUCAGAUUCACAGAUAUUACUUCUGCCAGUUUCCAUUCUAAAAAAACAUGUUUUUUUAAAAAAGAUAUUUCACAACUUUAAAAGUUAUGGAGUGCAUGCUGCUUUCUACAGAAUAAAAUCUAGGCUUCUCAGGAUACCAAGCACCCAUGCGUUUGCUCAGGCUGUUUCCUUCCCUAACAGACCUAACCUCCUUCCUGGCACGCCUGGCAAUCUGCCAGUCAUCUUCAAGUCUAAGCUCAAAUGUCCUUUAGACCCUUCUUAUCCUUCCUGACUAAAUUAACUAUUCCUACCUGGUGCUUUCACACCAUUAAUGCUUACCACACUGUACUAUAUUAACAUGUUUAAGUGCCUGUAUCUUUGCUAGACCAUUAAGAGAUUUUAUCCUACUUAUCAAGCUAUUCCCAACGCCUAUAAAAAUAAAAAUUUCUAUUACAGUGGUUCUCAACAAGGGGUUCACAUCAGUCACCUGAGGACACUUUAUUAUAGAUAUAUAAUCCUCCCCCACAAUCCCACUCUAGAUAGUCUCAUGCAAGUAAGAAUUUCAAACACACAACCCUAGGAGCCAUGACUUUAUAGAUGUUACUAUUGUAUAGGUAUAACAGGAAAGGAUAUAUCCUGAAAUUCACAACAGUUCAAUGCCCAGUAUAUAACUCAUGUUUACGUACUGGUGAAGUGACUGAAUUAAGCAGUCUUUAUGGAAGGCUACCACCAUACAAAUCUUCCAUUACAAAUGAUAAGCAUAAAGCAUCAAGAAAUGUUAAAAAUUUUAAGCCCCUCAAGUGAUGUGUCUGACUUACAUUCUGUAAGAGAUAGAGACUUGUAGCUAUCUCCUAUUCUGCUCUUUUUUCUUUGAUAAU